GAGAGCAACUUAAAGGAGGUUUCGAUCUUCCUUGUGGGAAUCCCGUGAGUUGCCAAGUAGCGCUUAGGUAUAUAAAAGCGUCGAGAUGAACCUCGGGAGUUAGUUAGUCUCUUCCUACUGCAAAAUCUCUUUGUACCUCGUCAGAGCAAUGGUGAACCGCGGUUUGUUCCUCUUCCUCCUGGUGGCACUGGCCCUCUCAGCCGCGGCACUGGCUAAUCCUCUGCCCGGUGCCAGUGCCAAGGCUCACUUCGCGUUUCCGGGCUACGGUUACGGACACGGAUACGGACACGGGUACGGACACGGGUACGGACUCGGGCAUUACGGUAUCCCUGUCUAUCAUCACUGGUAGUAUGUGAAGCUGGGAAGGAAAGGCAGAACGCGCUCGCUCUCGACGAGACCGAAUUUCAUGAUGGCGGGACGUCGUCAGCAGAAACUCCUCUUUAUUUUCUCACAAACGGAUGGAUCUUUGAUCGAAGAAACCAAAUGCCCGUUGUAAAAAAAAAAAAAAAAAAAAAAAAAAAAAAAAUCCUUCAUUCCGCCAUCUGUCGAAUGUGUUUUCCAAAACCGUCUGAUAAAUCCGGAAUAACAUUA